rnacentral:rRNA from 1 species
CUCCAUGAAGUUGGAUUCGCUAGUAAUCGCGCAUCAGCCAUGGCGCGGUGAACACGUUCCCGGGCCUUGUACACACCGCCCGUCACACCAUGGGAGUUUGUAACGCCCAAAGUCGGUGGCCUAACCUUUAUGGAGGGAGCCGCCUAAGGCGGGACAGAUGACUGGGGUGAAGUCGUAACAAGGUAGC